ACCAACCACUUUGUAAUCCACAUGCAGCUUCUAGGUUCAGGCUUUGGGAUGAAGGAACAUAGCACAUCGUUGCUGAAUUUGGAGUUAUACUCAUCAACAAGGGAAGGGGAAACAAGCAGUACCAACAGCUGGGACAACUUUGAGAUGUGGGUGCACAAGAGGGUGAUCGACCUUGUCAGCUCCUUGGACGUUCUCAAGCAGAUCACCAUUGAGAGGUUGAGAUGACCAUUAACAACAAGUAACUGUUGUGAACGUAGCCAAGGACAUGCAGCUGUUGGUGAUGGGCUCUGUUAGGAUGCCCACGUAGGUGCUCAACAUCACCACCGGGAAGUCCCCCUGUGGCGCAAGGUGAGCUGGAAGUGGUGGUGCACCGCCUUGCUUAUGGCGCCAAUGAGAUGGCGGGGUUGUUGCCCCGUGACGUCGGCAUCGGC